UAGAUAUAUGUACGCAGAUCUUGAAAAGAAGUACAAAAUCAUGUUUCGAGACCAUGUUUUAGAAGAACGAAAUCUUGAAUUUUAAAUCCUGAAUCCGGUACUGAUGCAGAUACUGGACCAUGUGGAAGCUACCUAUGUUCGGAUGCACUGAUGCCACCCAAGUGUUGGCUGAGGUAGAAGAGGCGAAGAAGGCAUACCCACAGGCCUGGAUCCGUAUCAUUGGAUUCGACAACGUGCGUCAAGUGCAGUGCAUCAGUUUCAUCGCCUACAAGCCAGAAGGCUACUAAGUUUCAUAUUAGGACAACUUACCCUAUUGUCUGACUUUAGGGGCAGUUUGUUUGAAAUGUUACUUAGCUUCUUUUUUUUUCUUCUUCCCACAAAAAUUGUUUUAUGUUUCCUACUUUCUAUUCGGUGUAUGUUUUUGGAUUCCUACCAAGUUAUGAGAACUAAUAAUAAUUAUGAUUUGGUGCUUUGUUUGUAAAUUUUGUUGUUUCACAUUCGUGUGGCGUAUAUGAGUUUCAUCUUGAUAAUAUCUGCAAAUCUUAAAUGCAAAUUAUGGUCCA
rnacentral:lncRNA from 1 species